CAUGGCUAGCAAGUUGUUCCAGCACCACUUAUAAACGGUUGAUCUUUCUGGCCACUUGCUCACAUGCUGUCUUCAGUGAUAUUUGGGCCAAUUCCUGGACUCAAGAUUUUGUUCCUUUUUUUUUUUUUCUGUGGUUCUUUGGCGCUAAGACCACACUGUUUUAAUUACUGUGGCUUUUAAUAUCCCAGAUAACCUCAUGACUCACCUUCUGCAGGUCUUUACUCAAAUACAGCCUUUUCUGUGAGAUCUUCCUCAAGCACCCUAUUUACAAUGCUGGCUUCCCUCUACCCCAACCCCUGCCCGCAACCACCUCCAUAUAGUCUCUGCUUUGCUUUAUUCUUCUCCUUAUCACAUGUUACCAUCUGUUAAUCGACAUAUUUUACUUAUUCAUUUGCGUACUGUCUGCAUAUCUAGACUAAGUUUCAUGAGAUGAUAAGUCCAUGAAAACAGGGAUUUUCAUUUCUUUGACUCACUUUUGUAUCCCCGGUGCCUGGAACACUGCCAAGCACAGAACAGAUUCCCAAAAAUAUUUAUUGAAUGAAUGACAAACCGGUAGAGAAAAACAUCCUACAUACAACCACUCCCCACCCCGAUUUUUUUUUCGAGAAUUCGUUGGCUCUUUUUACACAAUCUUUUGUCAUGAAAUAUAGUGCUAAAUUGACCAAGUCAAAAAGAAGAUCCAUGGGAUUUUGAAUGGGCCCAUGUUGAAUACACAGGUUAAUUUAGGAAGAAUUGACAACUUUACAGCUUUGAUUAUUUCCGAGGAAGAUCCAGUUAUUUCCCUAUUUUUUCAAGCCUUCUUUUAUUCCCUCAGUGUAGCAAAAUGAUUUUCUUUGUAAAGGCCCUAUGAAUUUCAUAUGAAGAUUGUUCCCAAUCAUGUUGUGAUGUUUUGUUAUUCAUUCACUUAUUCAAUAAAUGCUUCUUGUUGUCAAUCAUGUGCCAGACACUGUUCUAGGAGCUGGGAAUGCAGCAGUGAACAAAAAAUUGUUCUCUGCCCUCAUGGAUGUCAUGUUCUAAUAAGAAUGGAAUUCUUUUUUCCCUUAUAUUUUUUAACUAGCAAUAUUUGGUAUAAAAGAGAGCUAUUGAGUUUGGGGUACUUCUUUUAACAUAUCUUCUUACUAAAUUCUCUCAUCAUUUCUUUUUUUAAAGACUUUUAUUUUUCCCAUUAUAGUUGGUUUACAGUGUUCUGUCAAUUUUUUACUGUAUAGCAAAGUGACCCAAUCUCUCUCUCUCUCUCUCUCUCUCUCUCACACACACACACACACAUAUUUUUCUCACAUUAUCCUCCAUCUUUUUCCAUCACAAAUGACUAGAUAUAGUUCUAUUUUCCCCUUUUAUCUGUUGGCAAAAUGAAGUUUUCCAAUACAGUCCCUGUAUUUAUCCACAAUUGGAUUUCUGGAAAUUAAUUCCAUAUUUUUAGUCAAGAAGAAAAGUCACAAUUUUUUUAAAAUAUUUAGGACUGUAUAAUAUACCAGAAAUGAAUUUAGGUAUCAAAUUAUCUGAUAUGAUCCAAAUAUCUGAUAUGAUACAAUUGACAAUAGUUGUAUGCAACUGAUGCAAGUCAUUUUGAGAAAAUAUUAAUUUUUUACUCUUUGCUGGCAGACUGUUUAGGAACCUAACUCCCUGAGUCAGCUACUGUUGAGUCUAUUUUUUUAAUAAAACAUAAAACCAUGGUUCUCCAUUGAAAGUUAGAGAACAUAAAAUCUAUUGAUUUCUUUUAUAUUACUUUCUGUUUGCCAAUUACUUGUACAAACACUGAAGUAGCUAAAGAUUUAAUUUGCAUAUCCAACCACAAUAAAACAAGGAUGCCUGAGUAAAGUCUUACAUCACAGCUGUAAACUAAGAUUUUCUGAGGAGUUACAUUUGUCCUAAUAAUAUAAGACAGGGAUUAAGAGCAAUUAUACAACACCCAUUUCUGCAACUAAAGAAAUGAGGUUUGGCAGCCUGAAGAGUCUUGAGCAUGCUAACGCUGUCAGUAGCAGAGCGUGGACAAAAACUUUAGUUUUCUGCUUCACAUCAAAUACUCUUUCCACCGUGCUCUCCCUUUCAUUCGGCAUUACCUGCGUCACUAGAAACACUCAAAUAUGUUUCUUCACUUACCUAGAAAUUGUUGUGUUACCUUUGCCUAUUAUUUUAGGAGGAAAUCAUUUCUUAUAAAAUUCACAUAUGGCUUUUGAUUUUGUGGCAUCCUUUUCCUGGAGGUUCAAAGAAUGAGCGUAUGCUUGAAGAGUAAAUUCUUACAACAGGUCUGUGGGGCGGGGGUGUGGGGAGCAGAAAUGAUGAGUCUCCUGUGAUAUAAAUCAACAUUCUAAUCGUUAAAAAAUAGAUGCACUCAUUCAUAAGUGUCACAAAACACUCCAAACUGAAUAGGAAGGAAUAUCUGAAUGGAACUGAUAACAGCCAAGCCUGAAGAGGAAGCACAACAGCCCAUUACGAGCUAUUGAAAAUUUCCAUAGAGAGAAAAAAAAAAUGACAUACAGCAGGAAAUUCCUGACCAGUAGUGUAAUCUCUUACAUAAAAUGUGUUGGCAGAUAAAUGGAUUUUUAUGAUUUUGCUUACACCCACUACUUAUUGCCCCUUCAGAUAUGUCACCUUGUAACUGUAUUUUAACUUCACUCUAACUCUGUUUAAUGGAAUUGGAGGUUCAUCUUAAUCCCCUCAAAAUACUCUUGGUCCUUUGCCAAACAUGGGGGAAGAGGUUAGUAACUAAAACACUGAAACUUGCUAUAAGUUAGGCCUAGGAAAAUAUUAUAUUGCGAUUUAAUAUAGUAAUACCCUAAUUUACCAAUAUCGUACAUAGGAAUUAGGCAGUGGAAAAAAAAACUUUUUUGGCCGCGCCCACAGGACACAGAAGUUCCGGGCCAGGGAUCAAGCCUGAGCCACAGCAGUGACAACACUGGGUCCCUAACCUAGGUCACCAGGGAAUUCUAGCAUCGAGGCACAUGUUAAAUUCUGACCUAGGUGUUUUACUUAACAGUAUCUCAUUUCACUUUUAUAACUACACUGAAAAAUGACUAUUAUGCUCAUCCCACAGAGCAGAAGACUGAAUUUCUAGAAGAUACAGUUAUAUAAUCCAUGCCCUCCCACUUCCGAGGCAGACCUAGAUUUCGUAAUUCCUGGCUCUGCCACUUUCUGCCUGGGCAACCCUGGGCCAAUGUGAGCCUUCCUUUCCUCACUUGUAAAAUGAAAGUGAUGGCACCCGCCUUCCCACUUCAUAAGUUGGUGCGAAUCAACUUAACACUGAAAGCAAAACACGUUGGCGGUUACCACUGAACACAAACAAAAGGUUAAACGAAUAAGGGAAAGUGAUGGGAAUUGAUUUCUAAAUUAUUUUUCUCAGACACUUUGUUUUCAAUGCUUGAUUACACAAUACUGAGCUGUGUUUUCCAGGCAAGGUCUUUCUGGUUGAGCGUCAAUGAAUCAUUUCCUUCAUAUUCAGAUGAAAGAUAUGCCUGGGUAGGUUGGGUUCCCACCCUGCUUUAUCUUAACAAUCCAUACAUUGCAGGUAAGCAAACAAUUAGGAUUGUUAAGAAUAUCACUCCUGGGCGUCUUAGGGUUCCCUCUCUGCAGAAAUUUCCAGCACAAAAGACAAGGACUGUAGGGUCACUGACCUACUGACACUGGGUCUACAAUGACUAACUUCCAUACCGGUAAAAUGAGAAGCAAGAGGAAUAAUUUCGGCAUUUUCCAUUUACCUUGUCAAGUAAACUUGAUUUUCAAAGGAAAUCUCAAGCGGCUCCACAACAUAAACAGAUCAUAAAAGCAAUAUUUCAUUAGAGUAAUUUAUCGGUUCAAUUUUGUUACAUGUUUUUAUUAUAAGAUUAAUAAAUGACACAAUGAGCUUUAAGGAACACAAAAAAUUUGAAAUUGGAAGUUAUUCGUGACAGUGAUACAAAUCACUCAGGAUCCAAAAAUUUCGUUUUGCUGUUUUCACUAAAAUUGAGAGAAGUUUGAUCCACAAGCAGUUGCAAAUGAGAACAGUUUAUGUUGGUUGGUGGCUUGGUCUUAUUUUUGUGGUUUGGAUGUUUUAUCCUGUGUUCAUAUUUAACAGCUUAUAUUGCUUUUCAAUUAAACAGUUAGCCAGAGAGAAUUUGUUUGGAAAUGUGCACAGAAAUAAGUUAACCUGGCCAUAUAAGUUAACAUCAUCAUAAUUUAAUAUUGUUCUGAAGGUAUGUGUAGAUCAAAUGAUUGUUUAGCUGAGGGACUCAAGAGAAUCAGCUGAAAAACUAUAUAAACAAUGAAAGACUCCAGUAUGGUAAAAACCACAAUAUGGAAAAAUCAAUAGUCUUCAUACACACAAACAACAACCAGAAGAGAUAACAGAAUCAUUCUACUCACCAAAAAAAAAAAAAAAAAAAAAA
rnacentral:lncRNA from 1 species